CAGUAGCCGCGGGAAUACGAGGGGGGCAAGCGUUGUUCGGAAUUAUUGGGCGUAAAGGGCGCGUAGGCGGUUUGGCAAGUUUGGUGUGAAAUCUUCGGGCUCAACUCGAAGUCUGCAUCGAAAACUGCCGGGCUUGAGUAUGGGAGAGGUGAGUGGAAUUUCCGGUGUAGCAGUGAAAUGCGUAGAUAUCGGAAGGAACACCUGUGGCGAAAGCGGCUCACUGGACCAUAACUGACGCUGAGGCGCGAGUGCUAGGGGAGCAAACAGGAUUAGAUACCCCCGUAGUCCCUGUCUCUUAUAC
rnacentral:rRNA from 1 species